rnacentral:rRNA from 1 species
AACAGGAUUAGAUACCCUGGUAGUCCACGCCGUAAACGAUGUCGACUUGGAGGUUGUGCCCUUGAGGCGUGGCUUCCGGAGCUAACGCGUUAAGUCGACCGCCUGGGGAGUACGGCCGCAAGGUUAAAACUCAAAUGAAUUGACGGGGGCCCGCACAAGCGGUGGAGCAUGUGGUUUAAUUCGAUGCAACGCGAAGAACCUUACCUACUCUUGACAUCCAGAGAACUUAGCAGAGAUGCUUUGGUGCCUUCGGGAACUCUGAGACAGGUGCUGCAUGGCUGUCGUCAGCUCGUGUUGUGAAAUGUUGGGUUAAGUCCCGCAACGAGCGCAACCCUUAUCCUUUGUUGCCAGCGGUCCGGCCGGGAACUCAAAGGAGACUGCCAGUGAUAAACUGGAGGAAGGUGGGGAUGACGUCAAGUCAUCAUGGCCCUUACGAGUAGGGCUACACACGUGCUACAAUGGCGCAUACAAAGAGAAGCGACCUCGCGAGAGCAAGCGGACCUCAUAAAGUGCGUCGUAGUCCGGAUUGGAGUCUGCAACUCGACUCCAUGAAGUCGGAAUCGCUAGUAAUCGUAGAUCAGAAUGCUACGGUGAAUACGUUCCCGGGCCUUGUACACACCGCCCGUCACACCAUGGGAGUGGGUUGCAAAAGAAGUAGGUAGCUUAACCUUCGGGAGGGCGCUUACCACUUUGUGAUUCAUGACUGGGGUGAAGUCGUAACAAGGUAGCCGUA